rnacentral:rRNA from 1 species
UACGGAGGGUGCAAGCGUUAUCCGGAUUCACUGGGUUUAAAGGGUGCGUAGGUGGUUUGUAAGUCAGUGGUGAAAGCCCGGAGCUCAACUCCGGAACUGCCAUUGAUACUGCUUAACUUGAAUCAACUUGAGGUGGAUGGAAUAUUACAUGUAGCGGUGAAAUGCUUAGAUAUGUAAUAGAACACCGAUUGACGAAGGCAGUUCACUAAGGUUGUAUUGACACUGAGGCACGAAAGCGUGGGGAUCAAACAGG